rnacentral:rRNA from 1 species
UGGGGAAUUUUGCACAAUGGGGGAAACCCUGAUGCAGCGACGCCGCGUGAUUAAGAAAGUCUUCGGAUUGUAAAAAUCUUUUGUAUAGGAAGAAGAUGACAGUACUAUACGAAUAAGGUCCGGCUAAUUACGUGCCAGCAGCCGCGGUAAUACGUAAGGACCAAGCGUUGUCCGGAAUCAUUGGGCGUAAAGGGUACGUAGGCGGCCCGUUAAGUUAGAAGUGAAAGGCUAUAGCUCAACUAUAGUAAGCUUUUAAAACUGUCGGGCUUGAGAGAUUGAGGGGAAAGUGGAAUUCCUAGUGUAGCGGUGAAAUGCGCAGAUAUUAGGAGGAAUACCAGUGGCGAAGGCGACUUUCUGGCAAUCAUCAGACGCUGAGGUACGAAAGCGUGGGUAGCAAACA